rnacentral:misc_RNA from 1 species
GAUGAAGAACGUAGCGAAAUGCGAUACGUAAUGUGAAUUGCAGAAUUCAGUGAAUCAUCGAAUCUUUGAACGCAUAUUGCGCUCUCUGGUAUUCCGGAGAGCAUGCUUGUUUGAGUAUCAGUAAACACCUCAACUUCCAUAUCUUUUUUGAAAUGGGAGCUGGACUUGAGUGAUCCCAACGCUUUUCCUCACCGAAAAGUGGCGGGUUACUUGAAAUGCAGGUGCAGCUGGACUUUUCUCUGAGCUAUAAGCAUAUCUAUUUAGUCUGCCUCAAAAACAGAUUAUUACCUUUGCUGCAGCUAACAUAAAGGAGAUUAGUUCUUGUGCUGACUGAUGCAGGAUUCACAAAGACAGCUUCGGCCGACUUUGUAAACUCGAUCUCAAAUCAAGUAAGACUACCCGCUGAACUUAAGCAUAUCAAUAAGCGGAGGA